AGACAAUCUCUUAAUAAAAAAAAUUAUUAAAAAAUAAAUUAAAUAAAAUGCUCAACUCUUCCAGAGUUAAUCCACAGGAUGUGUUGGCUUAUGGAAAAGCUCCCUAACACCUUAAUGGUACAAGUAGAAACAAAUAUUUUAGCCUGACUGGACCUCAAUUUCUUUACUUAGGAGGAUUAGUAAUGGUAUAUAAAGGGCCUGGUGAGCAUUUUUUUGAGUGCUGACCAACUAGUUUUCUGGAGAUGUUCAAGAAGUGUAUAGACACGACCCCUGUCUUCAUGGGUAUUACACUUUAUUGUGUACUUAUACAAGAAAGCAAGAGUAGCUUGCUACACACUGUGGCAGCUUCUCUGAAGGGAAUAACAAGUCUGAAGAAGGCUGGCAACUGUAAGGGCAGAACAAACAGGCAGUUCACAGAACAGAACCUGGGAGGCGGUGGGGCUAGAGGCAGUGACCUGGCAAAGAAGAGGUUUCUCCUGCCUGGGACUGUCCUCUUUUAUAACACCACAUUGCUAGCUCCUUUUUAUCUUUCAGAUUUUAGGUCUAGUGUCAUCCCUCCAAAAAAACUUAUUGACACCAUUAUCUCUCCAUCUCUGCCAGAUAUUCCGUACCAGUUACUUCAGUUUGUUUCUUCAGACCAUCUUAUGAUUGCUAAAAUAAUCUUAAUUCUUUUGCAACUUGUUUAUUACAUGCUUUUCCUCUUUGGAAAAGAAGAUUAAAGUUUUAUGUAUUUUAUUCAUCUAUUUGUCUUAAAAAAAAAUACAGGAUGAGACCACAUAAGAGUUGUAGGGAGAAAAGACCACAGAGCAUCAAGCACGAUGAGGUGUUUUGGUCUUGCAGUGGCUCUUCCUGAAUCCUGUCUCUUGGGCUUUCCUAUCCUUACUACUUCUAAUGUUGGCUCUGGGGACAUCAGCAAACAAUACAAGUACAGGCUUGGUAAGUGCUUGCUUAGAACAAAGGAGUCAUGUGAGGAAAGCUGCCCUGCUUCCAUCUCUUCUCAGUAUGAAAUAUGGCUGGGAGAUCAAGGACCAAGCAUCCUAUAUAUGUAAGUAAAACUUAGAACCCUCCCUUCCUCCAAGACCUUCUAAUUAAAUUUAGCUACAUGAGUAAGUCCAGUUAAAAGUAGUGGAGUGAUUUCCUCACCCCACAGAACUAUGAUCAAUAAAAAAAAUUAGUUGCCACUUAAGGUGAUGAGGUUUCAGGUGAUGUAGUACUUACAGAAGAACUGGAAAGGGGCUGAGGCAGAGAAGAGGGGAAAGUAGGGAGUUCAGAGUUCAGAGAAGUCAAUAGGAACCUUGCCCAUGCAGUCAUUUCAUAUUACAAGUGAUGGGAAGUUAUUAACAGAUUUAAAGGGAGAGUGUUUUGGAUCAAAGAAGCUGGUUAGGAGACUAUUUCAGUCAUCUGUUGUUGCUGAACUAACGGAAUAUGGGAGAAGAUCCCAGCACCAUGAUCCAGGAUCAGGACUCUAAUGAUUUCAGAGAAGCUCUGAUGCCUUUUCUAGGAACAUUCUCUCAGGAGUCCAAGCCUCCAUUAGAAUUUUUAAUGGAUUCUUGUGAAUGAACCCAUGUCUGUACAUGUUAGACAAGUGCUCUGCCACUGAGAUAUAUCUCCAGUCAUCGAGCCUUCAUUUAGAAAGCUAGUAACUAUGCUUGGGAGAUGAUAAGGAGGGGUAAAAUAACAGAUCCAAUCAAAUCUAGAAAAGGAGGCACAUGCAUCCCACUAUGGGAAGUGACCAAAUUGUCACCUAGGGCCGCUAGGUGACAUAACCUCUAAAUAAGUAAUAUAGUACAAUCGUGCAUAUCAUCUCUGUUCUUUACUGAUCAGAAAAAUGAAGGCAAGAUUGAUCUUUAUUCAGGGAUUUGCAAAGGAAAGGGUAGUAAGUUAAUUUAGGCUGCUUACUGAUGGAACAGGUUAUGGCCAAUGUAGGAGACUGGAUGGCUCUGGACUGGAAAUAUAAGAGAAUGUUGAUGCUAUGGAACAGACACGGCAUGAAACCGGAUAGUAGACGUAGAAAGAAAAGCAAACGAGAAGAAAGGAAUGGCUAUUACUGGAAAGCACCCCUCACCUUAGCCACUCCCCCUAUGCUGUAUCAUACCCAAAUGUGACUUUCUGUGACAAUCAUGACCAAAUCUACCUUUGAAGAAUGAUACUUCCCUAGUUUGUUUUCCAUACUUAUUGUUUCUUGAAUUUACUUUAAAGAAAAAUUUUAAAAAUGUAUUUUUAUUGUAAUUUAUGGCCCAAACCAAAAAAAAAUGCUUUAAGCAUCAACCAGUAGAAAAAUGGAGAAAUAUAUUGUGGCAUUGUUGUAUUGCAGAGUUUAAAUAGAAACAUGUGCAUCAACAUAGAAAAAUCUACAAAAUGUAUUAAGCAAAGAAAAUUACAUUGGAGAAAUGCAUAUUUUAUAAUACUAGUUACAAGAAGCUUAAACACUUGUAGCAAUAAACAGACAGCUCGGAGGUCCUUAUUGUGCAGCAAUCACACAAACGAGAAAAUAAUCACGAAGUAAAGGCAGCAAUAACUGCUUCUAUAUAGGGAAAAUGGAAAGAAAAUGGAAGGUUCUCACAGAUUUUACUCUAGCUAGGAAUGAUACUUUCCCACUGUGGUAAUUAUCUGCCACAACUGAGAGAAAGCCUACAUCAAAAAGAAAGAUUUCAAAGGCUUAACAGGAACAUCAGUGGAGGGAACAUGUCCAGAGUUCUUUCUGAGCACAUGAACAUUCUGAAGGAUCCAGAGCCAUCUGGGUGAAGAUCUGUGGGGUGGGGUAUGAGGAGAAUCUGGUUUGCAGGCUGACGCAAUCAAUCAGUGACUUCAUUUGGUAGACAAGGCCUAGAGAAUUCAAGGAACAUUUAAAAAUAGAACAGUCUAGGUCAGCUAGCUCAUAAAUAAACAUAAGAUUCCAUGAGAUGAAAUUAUCAUACCAGGACCUUUCUUAUCUUACAUGGCAGAGAAGAUCUGAGAAAAAGAAGAUGCCAAACCUAAGCUUAAAAGAGAGAGGUUGUCAUGGAGCUAGAAGAGGAGUACGAAGGGAAGCUAGAGAAAAAGACUGGUCAUCUUUUUUCUUUAUGUAUUUAAGAAUCUGAUAGAAGCAACUGCAAUAGGAUGCAGACAGCCUGGUGGACAACAGGGUCUUUUCAGAGACACACAGUCUGUCCCUCACCUGAACUCUUUGGGAUAGUCUGGGAUACACAUAUGUUUUGAAAACUGAGUUCUCCAAAGCUAUCUGUUGGGAUUGUAUGUGAUGCACUAAAGAGUAGACCAAAUUCCUUGGAAGAACAUGGAGAACGAGUGCUGAUGUUCUAUGCAGAUUGUGUUUCCUGAUCGUAUCACUUGAUGGGAAGGAACUAAAUAAACAAAAAAAAAAAAAAAAAAAAAAAAAAGCAAAGGUACACGAAGAACCACUUGAGUCCUAAUAAAUCCUUGUCAGUCUUCUACAGUUCUCUAAAUCCUUCCAGAAAGAUAAAUCCUAUGAGAGCUUUAUCCUUUUAAUUCCUUCAGCCAUACUUAUUUGACAUAUUCACUAACAUUUCCUAUUUAACAGGAAAUCAAGCUCAGCUAGACCUUAUACAUAGGAUGAUAAAAUGAUAAACAUGUUAAUAUGAAAUAAAGACACUACUGACCUUUAUUUAUCAGUCUACAAAGUAAUGGAAAUUGCUCUGGUCACUCAGCCUUAAAACUUCAAAGGAAUAAAAGUAGAAGAUAGAUACACCAGGCUCUAGGAAGAUGUUCAGGAAGACUGUGCCAUGCAAAACAUCAUGGAAGCUUCAGAAGAGGCAUUUGUCUGUCUAAAAACAAAAUAAAACCUCCAACAGAGGGCUUGUGUACAAGGGAAGUGUGGCUUCAAGGUGAGGUGAUAUAUAUGAUACAAUAUCCACAUGAUGUCCUGCUCUGUAAGCUUGGGUCACUAUGCUAGAGUCACUUGAGGACAAGCCUUGCAAUUCCAAGUAGCCAACUUGAUGCCAAGAAGCCUACUAAGUGACUAAUUGGUGGAUUGUGUGCACAGCAUGGAUACACAGACCACAGGAAUACUCGGUUCCUGGUGAGUGUUUUGUUGAUGAGCUACAGAAGACAAACUGCUGGUUGUUCGCUUAGUUUUCUGUCAUUAUAGCAAAUUACAGAGACUUUCUAAAGAGCAAAGGUUUGUUUGGGAGUACAGUUUCAGAGGCUGAAGUCCAUGCGCUUGGCCUCAUUCCUUGGAGCAUGUAAUGAGGCAGUCCUGCAUGGUGGGGGCUCCUGGUGAAAUAAAGCCUCCCAAUUUGUGGCCAAGGCAUAAGAGAAGGUGAGACACCAGGAACCCAUCAACCUCUCAAGAGUACCCACAGUGGCCAAAAACCUCCAAUUAAGCCCCAUUUCUAAAGGCAUUGCCAUGUCCUAACAGUGCUACCCUGGGAACCAAGCAUUUAAUGGAUGGAA